rnacentral:rRNA from 1 species
CGGCUUAGAGUUUGAUCAUGGCUCAGGACGAACGCUGGCGGCGUGCUUCAAACAUGCAAGUCGAACGGAGAACUUUCAAAGCUUGCUUUGAAAGUUCUUAGUGGCGGACUGGUGAGUAACGCGUGAGUAAUCUGCCUAUUACAGGGGGAUAACAGAGGGAAACUUCUGCUAAUACCGCAUAAGACCACGGUAUGGCAUCAUACAGGGGUCAAAGGGUUUACUGGUAAUAGAUGAGCUUGCGUAUCAUUAGCUAGUUGGUGAGGGUAACGGCCUACCAAGGCGACGAUGAUUAGCCGAUCUGAGAGGAUGACCGGCCACACUGGAACUGAGAUACGGUCCAGACUCCUACGGGAGGCAGCAGUUAGGAAUAUUGGGCAAUGGAGGGAACUCUGACCCAGCAACGCCGCGUGAAGGAAGAAGGUUUUCGGACUGUAAACUUCUGAUCUAAGGGAAAAAGAAAGUGAUGGUACCUUAGGAGAAAGCCACGGCUGACUACGUGCCAGCAGCCGCGGUAAUACGUAGGUGGCGAGCGUUGUCCGGAAUGACUGGGCGUAAAGGGAGCGUAGGUUGCAAAUUAAGUUAGGUGUGAAAGGUCAAGGCUCAACCUUGGAAGUGCAUCUAAAACUGGUUAGCUAGAGUACAGGAGGGGUAAGCG